GAACCUCAGACAGAGGAACAUCGCCAGAUUUAUGCUUCUCAAGUACUCAUUCAUUUUUCUGUCUCUAAUAAAACUUAUGCCUUAUCUGGACCUCUAGCAAAUUUAGACACUGAUACCAGCAAGCUUAGAGAGUUUUUUCUAUCUUACCAUAAAUACAAACCCAUAGGAAAAGCUAAAAACCCUAGGACUUCUUCUUCCGAAAACACCCCGGCUGAAAACGUUAUAGAUUUGAGGUUUAUGAACAAUGGUUUUAGAGCCUUUCAUGC
rnacentral:lncRNA from 1 species